rnacentral:lncRNA from 1 species
GGAGCUCAUAAGCAACUCUUCACAUUUUCUUCACAUUUUGAUAUAGACAACACUCUGUUAAGCCUGUUUAAAGUAUUUUAUGAUGAUAUAUCUUCUGGUGAAUCUUCUUUAUCCAAUGUGCCCAUUUCUCCACAGAAAGGAGGGAUGAUAUAUUGUUGUUGUCUUCCUGGAAACCAUGGCUGAUAGACUGUCUCACAGGAAUAGCUCUUCUAAGGAUACAAAGGUCUGUGGGAGGAGAGGCCUUUGGCUGGCAGCACUGGGAAUCUAGCACCUAUGCUGAUCACUUGGGGAAAGAAAGAUGCUACCACCACCAGAAGAGCUACAGAAUCCUCCUACCUCUCUCAAGUGUGCCUCUCCCCAGUGCCAUGGGGAGGCCAUGCCUUGAAAUAGCGUGAGAGCCAAAACCCACAUUUUCAGAAAAAAAAAAGGAACAAAUAAAUUAAGCUUCUGCCACCCACCUCCCUUCUGUGCAGCUCAGGAAAACCAAGUGAAAUAAACAAGCACAUUAGAGGCUGGUACGUGAGCG